rnacentral:piRNA from 1 species
UCCUAUAACUUUUCCAUGUUCCUGGAUAA